AGGUCGGCGCGGCUGUGCUGCGGGCAGGCAGCGGAGAGGGCUCGCGGCGAGGGCUCCAGCUUACCCCGCCGCCGCGUCGCGUGCACGGAGCGCUUCAGAGGUUUGGAGGGGGCCGGAACCUCAAAAGCAACUGGAUGAGCACAACGCGGACGCCCCGGAGAAGCGGCGCAAGCGGGCCCAAAAUGGUUGCUGAUCAGACGAGUGGCAUCUCUCGCCCCCCUACCGCGGGAAUUGGGACCUCCAGACUGUGCCUGGGGGAUCGGCAAGUGGUUCCCCUCUGGUUUUUUCGGCGCUGCCUUCCCGGUGGUAUCCUCACUCUCUCUCUUUGAAAUGACCUCUGCUUUCCUAUCUCUAACUCUUCCCAGAUAUUUGAAAGCAAGUUUUUGUACAAAGCAACAUAUGAAUGUAUUCAGCCAUUCGAUCGUUCGGCGAACAUUUCUAGGUGUCUCGUGCUGUGCCAGAUAUUGUUCUGAGUGCGCUGAAGAUGCACCUGUUAGCAAGACAAAGUCCUGGCUCCCACGGAGCUUAUUCGAAGCAAUAGGGGCCCCCAAGCAGCUAAAGAUAGGCCAGAAGUGCUGGGGAGUUACACCUCCAGAAAUAGUCCUCAGUCAACUGUCAGAUGGGCGUUGAAGGAUAACGACCCCAGCUUCUUUCCUCCGUAGUUGGGACGAUGUGAAGUGAGUUCUCCACUGUCUCCCCAAGUUCUUCAGCAGGAUCCAGCCUCGACACCCACAACAGAACCUUGCCCUAUUGCACACCCUCUGUUGGCUUAACUUCCCUUCCCCGUCUCGCUUUCCUAUUCCCAACAGAGGUUCCCAAGAUCACUUCCCAAAUAAAAUAUUGCAUGAAAAUUAUUGCCCACAGGAUUGCUUCUGGGGGAAUCCAACCCAGUCUAACAAGAUAUGUUCAUUAAGAUUUAUUACCUUUAUAAUAGAGAAAGAUAGAUAGGGAAAAAAUAAUCACAUCUAUAAGGUGUUUUCAAGCAUGAACCUAAAAAUAAGAUUUUAGCCAGACUCUAGUGUAUUCAUAUUAUCUGAGUAACCAGGCAUUGAUGAAUUUGGACAGCAGGGAAUGGAAAGGAUUUCUUAGCUAAAUGAGUUAGAGUACUUUAAGUUGCAUAUUUGAUAUUUUGGUACCAGGCCCGCUGUAAUGCAAAAGUUGGAUAGGAAAACUUGCAUUCUGGGUAUAGUCUCAUUAUCAACCAUGUGCCAUGUUUUUCUUACCUAAAGAGUAGAGAAAAUAAAAGUGUCCCCUUUAUGUAAAUAAGACUAUCAAGAGUGUAAACUGCUUCAAGGUGCUUGGAAUUUAAUCUAUAUUAUUAUGCUAUUUUUUGAACAGC
rnacentral:lncRNA from 1 species